ensembl:lncRNA
GGUCGAGCAACACAGUGACACCUGAGGCUACAAAUGACCUCAGGAGAGACCAGCAAAAGAACUGCUCAGCUGCCCCCGGCCUGAAUUGCAGAACGGGGAGGAAGUAGAUGAAGGUCCUUUAAGUCACAUGAAUAGGAGUGUUUGUUAGGCGUGGGUGCUGUGUGUGCACACUCAGUCGUGUCUGACUCUUUGCGACCCCAUGGACCGCAGCCCGCCAGACUCCUCUGUCCGUGGGAUUUCCCAGGCAAGAAUACUAGAGUUGGUUGUCCUUUCCUCCUCCAGGGGAUCUUCCCAACCCAGGGAUCGAACCCACUUCUGUUGCUUCUCCUGCAUUGGCAGGUGGAUUCUUUACCACAGUCGCCCUUGGGAAGCCAGCAACAGGACCCUGGGCCAGGAAGUCAUUUAACAUUUCGGUGCCUCAAGUCUCCCCACGGGUGAACACCGAGCUGUUCUGAGAUGGCAAAUGAAAACACCCAGCACAGGACCUGGAAAGCGGCGGCGGCGUCGAGGGUUUUCAGUGAGGGCUAAUUCUGCUAAUUCCACCGCCCCCUGUCUAGCCCACGAGUCUCCGGAAAGAACCCUGAGGGGCCCCUUAGGACCGCCGGCAGCCUGGGGCGCACCCCUCCCCACACACACACACAGGGCCGAUGUGGAUUAGUUUUGAAAGAACGUCCUUACAAGAGACUGUUCUUGCCCAGCCAAGACGUGAGCUCUCUUUAAUCUACACGCCUGAUCACACGGCUGGACUCGGCCAAGCCCUCUUCGCGUCCACACAGCGGGGGCUGACCGGAGCCCCUCAGCCUAGCCCCAGCGCGGGAGGCCCGCGAGAGCGGCGUGCGCAUGCGUCAGGCCCAACCAUCGCCUCAGGUGCUGCCUCACGGCUGCUGGGGGGCGGGGACGGUAAGCGGCUCCCCGAGGGAGGCGGAGCCCAGCCAGAGCUUUCCCACCGCCUUGGGGCAGGUGGGCGAGCACGUGGGGCGGGGGCGCCAAGGUGACUGUGGCUUAGGCAUGGGUUUGUUUUUUUUUUAAUUAUUUACCUUCUCGUUUUAUUUCUUUUCGGCCGCACUGAGUCUUCGUUGUUCUGCGGCCUUUGUCUCGUUACUGCGAGUGGGGCCCGCGCUCUAGUCGCGCUGCAGGGAGGUCCGUGCCUCCCCUUGUUGUGGGGCGGGAUCUCUGUGAUUGCAGCUCGCGGGACUCAGCGGCCCCGGACACGUGGGAGCUCCGGACCAGGAAUCGAACCUCUGUCCCCUGCAUCGGCAGGCUUCCUCGCAACCACUGGACCUGGGCAUGGGACUUAAUCUUUGAGGGCCACAGUUUUCUCCUCAGAAAAGGGGGCUUGAUAACAGAAAUGCAGUUGAAACUCCAUGUAGGUGAUGCCUCAUGGGCAUAUCAUGGCCGCUCAUUGAAUGGUAGCUAUUAGCAGUAGUGGGUCUAUCCUUUCAAAUAAUAUGCAAUAAAUAGGAGGAGUGGCUCUAGCCAUUAAUGAGUUUAAUGCUGUGAUAUCUUGAGCUACUGCAAAUCC